GCUCCAUCUUUGGGCCCUUCGAGCUACGCCCCUCUUGAAGCCAGCCAUCGCCGUGCCCUGAGGUAAGCAUCAAAUCGUCCUGAGAUUUCCUUCUCUGUACGUGACGAUGUGUAAGAGCCGCACACCUUAUUUUCUAAUUGUAUUGAAGUCAAUUAGGCAUACACUUGGAGUUUUUAUUUAGAGUAUGUGAUGGGUUUUUUUUCUGAUGUGCAGUGUUAUACAGGUGGAUAGUUGUUCAACAAAAUGAUAUCUGAACUUCAAGCUGGUACCAUAAAAAAAUUUACUUCGGUGUUCUGAAGUUUAUCAAUAAAGUGUAAUAUAUUUGACCAUUAGCGACACCCUUCACCAUAAGGCAUAGAUGUACCAAUGAUGUUAUUUCUUGAAGCCAAUUUGAAAUUUUGUAUCUCUUGUGAGUAGCAAGUAGACUGCUCAGGUUGAUCUUAUUUGUAUAUCUUGGAAUUGUUUCCUGGUUGAUAUAUUGGAAGAGCAUUGUUAGUCCAGAAUUAAUCAGUAUAAUUCAGUUUGGUUCAGUUCAGGACAUAUUAAGUAUGCUUUAGAACAAAUAAUCAAAAUUAU
rnacentral:lncRNA from 1 species